rnacentral:lncRNA from 1 species
AUUUGGGAUGGCGGCUGAUUCUCUCCUUUUUUUGUUCUCUUUCAAUGGCGGCUAGGAUUUCUUGUGGAUGGGAAAAGGAAGAAGAUGAUGGAUGGCUAAUUGGUUCAAUUGGGUUCAAUGAAUGGUGGCCGAAAUUGGGGAUUGUGCUUGAUUAGAUUAGGGGCGGAUGGAAUUAGGUUGUGACCCAAAGUUUAUUUGGGUUUGGGCUUAGUUGGUUUGGGACCCAAAGAGUGAUUGGGUUGGGACGUGGGAUAUGGAUGGCAUGAGAUAGGGAUGAGGAUUUUCAAUGGGAUUAGGACUCUAGGUUGGUGGCGUGAUAAGAAUGGGUUGUUGGUAUAAGAAGGGGAGGAGUUGUUGACUUGAGAACAAGGAUAGGGCUAGGAGGGCGUGAGAAUGAAGGGAGGAGUCCUCUUGCUAGAACUCUUAAUUAAGGAAGGAUAUGGCGGGAGGAAUGGGUUGUGGCAUUAGGAUUGGGAGGAGUCCUUCCACAAGGACUUUCAAAUAAGGAUGGGUAUUGCGUGAGGAAAAGAAGGGAUAUUGCUGAAAACGUGGAGGAAUAGAAAAUAAAUAUGGAUUUGGAUAAGAGAGUCUCACCCUCACACAAAUCCAAGGGAUGGCGUAAAGGAGGAGUCUCACCUUCACCAACUCCUACCAAGGCUUGGCAUCUCACCAAGAAAAAGAAAAGGGAAGCAUGUCACUUUCUUCACGAGAGAGGCUCUCAAAUGAUUUUGCAAAACUCUAAUCUCUGCAUUUUAUUCUUCAACCUUUUCUUUAUAUAGAGUAAGAGGUUGGGAUAAGUUGGACUCUAACAAUCUGAAUUUGUGGACUCCUUUAACAAGGACUCAUUCUUCAACUAGGACUUCUACUUGAACUAGGACUCCUAGUUGACAUGGACUCUUUUAAUUUAAACAAUUGACUAAAUCAACUAACAAGAUAAGNNNNNNNNNNNNNNNNNNNNNNNNNNNUCAAUUUGGACUCUUCAUGGUGCAUGGAAUAAGAGUCCAAGUUGGCUAGGACUCUUCCUAAACGUCAUGAGGACUAAAUGACUAGACUCCACACACACACACAAGGACUCUUCAACACCUUGGACUCAAUAUGAUUUAGGCAUUGGACACUAACUCAAGGGGACUUAACACGCCCCAAACAAAAGGACUUAAUGUAACAUUGGACACGCCCAAUGUUAGACCCAAACUCCUUAACUCAAGACUCCUAAUCAACUUGGACCUUUUAUUUGACACAUGACUAAGUUGGCUAGAACUCUCACACGACACAUGGACCCAUUACAAAGACUCCAAAUAAAUUAGAACUCUUCAACACGACUAGGACUCAAUGUAACUAGACAUGCCCAAGGAUGAGGACCCAUCUCCAUGCACGCCUCCAUGCUUGGGCUCAUGCUCUUGCAUCAAUUUCUCCUGCUGAGAAGAACUCGACUCCGUCGAGUUGGGGCUGAUUUGAGGAAUCUUGGCUCGGAUGGGAUCCGCCAUCUAGUGUGCACACGGAUGCAGGCUGAUGCGCGCCGGAAGAGCCCUGGUGGAAUUGGUGCUCUAGGCUGGCGUGCCGGCAGGCCGCCAACUGGAUGGACAUGCACGGACGCAGGUCCGGUGCGCACGGGACGCGGUCCGGUGCGCACGGGACGCGGUCCGGUGCGCACGGGAUGCACGUCCAGGUGAACGCCGGGAGAUGGUGCUGCAUGCGGCUACCGUGGCUGCUGCGCUUGGUUGUGACCUUGCACGCGGGUGCUCGGUGUGGCACUGCGCGCGGAUCGGUUUGGCACUGCUUGUGCUCUUCGUGGCUUCCAUUAGCUAUCAGAUUAUCCUUCUUGAAAUCCGAUGUCAUCUCUUCUGAAUUUUCAGAACCAUCUUCCUUAGCAAUCGAUGCGAACAUGUCUCAACUUCAUGAUUGAUACCAAUUUUUGGGGCACAAGCGGACUCCGAAGGCACAUUGUUGCAGCGGACGAGAUCUGAAACCACUUUUGGUGGCGUAGAUGAAGGGGCAGCGAUGGAGAAGAAGGUCUUGGGGAAGACAAGGGUGGGGAAGAAGGGAUAACUAGGAGGUUGGAUAUACUAGAUCUCGAAACGAGAUCUAUGGCAUGCUGAAUGUCGCGCAUUAGUGGAAGUUCCUUGGGUAGAUCUUCAGGUGUUGCAUCAGAAAAGUCCUCCAAAAUCGACUUGAAAUCAGAUAGGAUUACCUUUGGAAUUUCAGAUCCAACUUCUUCGCCUUGCUUGCAACCCGAAAGGACCCUGCGAUCGACACAAACGGGUAGAUCUGAACAUUCUGGUUCCACCGCAGGUGCUUCUUCCUCGUUGCCUUCCUCUUCUUUGAUCUCAGUGGGUUUAGGAGGAACUUCAGAUGUCUUCGCGAUCUCGUCUUCUUUGCACGCUAAUGCAAAGCGCUGGUCUUUGGUGGGGCAAACAUCAGCAAAGUGCCCUCGACCACCGCACUUGUAACAAUCGGAUUUGCUUCCUCUUUGUGGCAUAGGACUCUUUCUUUUUCCUGGUCCUUGCUGCUCCUCGCUCCGGAUUUGUAUCCUAUUUGCAGAGAUUUCAGAUAUUGAGAAAAAGAGAAUACCUCGAGGAAAAGAAAUGCCCUUGUUGCUGCGUUUUGGAGAGCAUCGCCCAACUUGAGUAUAGGUAGGGCGACGUCGUCGUUGUGCCUCCACACAAAAAGCAUCCAUCUUUUGAUUCAAGGCAACCAUUUGAUGGAGAACUUCAGCUAUCAUCUCUAUCUCAUCUCGUUGUCGAUCGAUGUUGUAGGGGCGGCUGCUUCUCAUACUCAUGAUGAUGCAGAAUCUUCGCUCUGAUACCAAUUGACGUAGAGGGGGUAGGUAGGUUGCUGAAGAUUGGGGAUGACAGCUGAUUUCUCUCUUUUUUUCUCUUUCAAUGGCGGCUAGGGUUUCUUGUGGAUGGGGAAAGGAAGAUGAUCGAUGGCUAAUUGGUUCAAUUGGGUUCAAUGAAUGGUGAUCGAAAAUGGGGAUUGUGCUUGAUUGGAUUAGGGGCGGAUGGAAUUAGGUUGUGACCCCAAGUUUGAUUGGGUUUGGGCUUGGUUUGGGACCCAAAGAAUGAUUGGGUUGGGGCGUGGAAUAUGGAUGGCGUGAGAUAGGGAUGAGGACUUUCAAUGGGACUAGGUUGGUGGCGAGAUAAGAAUGGGUUGUUGGCGUGAGAAGGGGAGGAGUUAUUGACGUGAGAAUAAGGAUAGGGCUAGGAGGGCGUGAGAAUGAAGGGAGGAGUCCUCUUACUAGGACUUUUAAUUAAGGAAGGAUAUGGCAUGAGGAAUGGGUUAUGGCAUGAGGAUUGGGGGGAGUCCUUCCACAAGGACUCUCAAAUGAGGAUGGGCAUUGCGUGAAGAAAAGAAGGGAUAUUUACUGAAAACGUGGAUAAAGGAAAGAUAAAUAUGGAUUUGGAUAAGAGAGUCUCACCUUCACUAACUUCUACCAAGGCUUGGUGUCUCACCAAGAAAAAGAAAAGGGAAGCGUCUCACUUUUUUCACGAGAGAGGCUCUCAAAUUUUUUGCAGAACUCUAAUUUCUGCAUUUUAUUCUUCAACCUCUUCUUUAUAUAGAGUAAGAGGUUGGGAUAAGUUGGACUCUAACAAUCUGAAAUUGGUAGACUUCUUCUUUAACAAGGAUUCAUUCUUUAACUAGGACUUCUAUUUGAAUUAGGACUCCUACUUGACAUGGACUUUUUUAAUUUAAACAAUUGACUAAAUUAACUAACAAGACUCCCACUCGACUUGGACUCUUCAUGGCGCAUGGAAUGAGAGUCCAAGUCGGCUAGGACUCUUCCGAAACAUCAUGAGGACAAAUGACUAGACUCCACAUACACACAAGGACUCUUCAACGCCUUGGACUCAAUGUGAUUUAGGCGUUGGACACUAACUCAAGGGAACUUGACACGCCUCAAACAAAAGGACUCAAUGUAACAUUGGACAUGUCCAAUGUUAGACCCAAACUCCUUAACUCAAGACUCUUAAUUAACUUGGACUCUUUAAUUGAGACAUGACUAAGAAUCCAAAUCAGCUAGGACUCUUUCACACGGCACAUGGACCCAUUAUAAAGACUCCAAAUAAAUUAGGACUCUUCAACAUGACUAGGACUCAAUGUAAUUGGGCGUCGAAACACUAGGACCCAAUAUAACUAGAUAUGCCCAAGGAUGAGGAUCACAUCUCCACGCAUGCAUCCAUGCUUGGGCUCAUGCUCCUGCAUCAAUAUUUAUAUGUUUAAAAAUUUAGGAAAGAAUGAAAAUGAAAAUUCUAUUUUUUUAUUUCUGAAAAAAUGAAAAUGAUGCCAAAUGGCACCUAAAUGCCUUGUUGGAGAAAUAUAAAGUGCACCUUAUAACAAUAGAAAUGCAUUGCUAGU